rnacentral:lncRNA from 1 species
GGGAUAAAGCUUAGUGGUAAAGUGUUCCUUGGGUUCAGUCACCAGUAUUAAAAACAAAACAAAACAAAAAACCCACAACAAAACACAAAACAACAACAACAACAAAACUGCCUUCAUCUCUAUCACUUAGGACAGUAACAUGCUCCUUUCAGGAUUAUAAGCCUGUAUUCCACCCAUAUUAUUGAAACUUGGUAGACAUAAACCCAUAUGGGAAUUAAUAGCUGAUUCUAUCCAAGUCACUCAGGAUCCUGAAAAAUGACUAUUUUGAAGUGGUGAGCUCUGCACCCUGGAAGCGUCAAACUAGGGCUGAGCCUCUCAAGGAGGUUGGGAGGCCAGUCCUUGCCUGGUUAUAGUAGAUGAUUCAUAAGAUAUCUCUCAGUUCUGAGAUUUCUCUGCAGAUCAGACUUAGGCCCCCCAAAGUGCCUUCAGGUUGCCACAGACUAGGCAUUUUCAACAUGGGCCAGUGACCCCUUAAAAUUUUCAUGUGUGUCUAUACUGUUGUCUGGGCUGGGAUCCCUGGCUUUGAAGAAACUGUCAGGAGUGGGGCGGAGUCAAUGCGGGUCAUUCUUUCUCCCAGCUCUGUCCACAUCACAUUCGGUUAGACAGUUUGCUGUUCUCAAACGUUGGCAAGUCUCAGAAUCCCCUGGAAGGCUUGUUGAAGCAGACUGUUGGGCUCCACACCUAGAGGUCCUGAUUUAGGUGGGGACUGGAUAUUUUUCAUUUUUAUGCAAUGGUUUCUUUUUCUUUGUAGUAUAGUGGUUUCCAGGUGCUGCUGCUGCCUCUGGUCUGGGACCACACUUUGGGAACCCCUGGCUUUUAUCAAGACACUUUACUGAUCAAAAAAGGUGGCAUGGCCCUCCUUGCCCAUGCUGGCUCUUGCCCCUCCAGCUAACCCCAUGUUUCCCCCUUUAGCCCCUAGCAAUUCAAUCCUCCCCCUGGCCCUCUAACCCAUGCAGCAAAUCCCAACUCAGCUGUCCAAGUGUCUAAAAAUACUCUCCCUCAGAGACAGCUGAGGGGCUUGAGCUAUUUUCUGAGGGUAAGAAGAGUUAGCACUUUAGAAUUAACUUCAGUGUAAAGACCAACAGCCUCUGUAGGAAUCCUGUCCUUGGCUUCCUAGCUUUACUGCUUAAAGUAGCCCCAGUACUGAGUGUUUUCAAGGGUCUAACUCAUGAAAAACCAAAUGGUUAGGUAUGUGUCUGUCUGGGGUGGUAAGUAACUUACCUUUUUUGGUAUUGUUCUAGAGUGGAUACUGGUUAAAAUUACUCCAGGAAGCUUAGGCCUGGUUCCAGACACAUGGAAAAUAGAUUUCAUGUGCCAGCUGAGCCGAUCCCUUCAGCAGACUUGUCUCCUUCCUUGGGGUUGCUUGACUCUAAGGCCCCCAUAGAUGGCUCUUUUUUUUUUUCUUUUCUUUCCUCCUCCUCCUCCUCCUUCUUCCUACUGGUGUUCGGACCCAGGGCCUCACGCAUGCUAAAGCAUUACUCUAUCACUGAGCUUCAUCCCUGGUCCUAUGCCCCACUCCCAGUCCUGUGUAUUCCAGGUCUUAAGACUUCAGCCCCACAUGAAAGGCACAAGAUUCCAAGGCCUUUUGGGGGUAGGGUGAGGGUGUGGGAAGAGCUGAGCUCCAGCAGGGUUGCUUUUUAGUCCUGGGAGACCAAGGUAGCCUAGGGAUAUAGGGAUUUGGGAAGGAAGUCCCUUUUUCCUGGUGAGGACCUAUCCUCCACUAGAGCAUCAGAAAUAUGGAGAUGCUCAAAAAUACAUGGAUGAUAACCUUUACAUGUUUGGGGGCUUCUGGUUCCUCAUCCGUGAAUGAAUGGAUGGGAUUUAGGGAUUUCCAGGUUUUUUUUUUUUUUUCCCAUUCUGCAACUUAGAAGUCUGGCAUCAUGAGCUUUAAAACCAGUUCCUGGUUUAAAGGCAGCAGUAGGGAACUCAGAGAACUAGAUCCACCAGGCACUCCAGAACUUUCAUUGGACUGAGUCUAAAAUGUGCUUCCUGUUUCUCCACUUGCUAGUGAGAAACUUCCGCUCCAUGAGGUGGGCAAUUCACUUGCCUGUUCAAUGUUGCACCUCCAACACGCUCCCCAACUCCACAGUGCCCAGAGCACAAUAGGGGUGCAGCGCUUGGAGAAUUAAUGCAUAGAGGCCUCCAGAGGGAGCCCAAGAUCUGCAGGUAGCUCCCUCAAGGGCUUCUUGGUGAUGGUUGGUGAUGGUUGGAACACAAAGGUGUCCCUUACCUCUCUACUUGCACCCCCCAAUUCUAGCCUUCACACAGUACAGUGGUCCCUUGCUUCCCACAGAGUGCUGAAAUGUUGCUUAGGUCACCAGCUCUAGGAGGGGGAGUUCUUGUGCAGGGUUUUAAAUGCAAAGUACACUACACACACCAGAGACUACUGAGGAUGAGGGCUCUCUACAAAUGCUCUAUUUUUUUCCCCAGGAGUCUGUGGGCCUUUGGGGGCUUCUAUUCUGGUACGAGAAGGCUGCUGCUGAUGGUGGGGUGCCCUGGGACAAAGACUUGUUGUUGGUUCUUGUUCCCCUUUCUGGAAUCUGUCUUUUCUUCCUUGUAUGCAAGGAAGGGAGAUAGGAGAUCCAACUUUCAGGCCUGGGCUUGGGGAAGCAGGCAGCGUGGGUAUUUUGGCUGACUUAGGUUCUGAAUUGUCUGGUCCUGCCUCUCAGGUGAAGGAGAUUUCUGAAGGACAGCCAGUUCCACUGCAGUCGUGCUUGGGCAGGCAGCCAAAGCCCCAGCUGAGGACUGAGGAUCACAUGUAAUUGUCCCCAUUUGUAUUGUCUGUGCACGUACUUCCCUAGGGACACAAGGGAAGGGUGAUUAUUAGGGAUAUGUUUUGUGUUUCCUCUGGCCCGAUACCAGUUAUCAAUUACAUCAUGACAGUUUACGCCAUCUUCUUUUCAAGCAAAGGCCAUCACAAAAUGCCAUGUCAGCCGGGCACGGUGUUUGCAUGCCUGUAAUCUCAGCGGCUUGGGAGGCUGAGACAGAAGAAUCGCAAGUUCAAAGCCAGCCUCAGCAACAUUGAGGUGCUAAGCAACUCAGUGAGACCCUGUCUCUAAGUAAAACACAAAAUAGGGCUGGGGAUGUGGCCCAGUGGUUGAGUACCCCUGAAUUCAAUCUCCAUUACCAAAACAAAACAAAAAGAUGCCAUAUCACUGGACUCAAGAUGUCAGCAUGUGGCUGACAUUGUGGCUCUCUUCCUCCCUCAAACCCAAACACUCGGAUAAUAAACAUUCAGAUUCAGCUUAAUUUAAUCUCCUGUGUCACAGUGAAUGGUCUGGUAUCUAGGUCCUAAGCCAAUCAGCAUGUGGCACUCCCCUGGCCACAGGAA